rfam:Pteropus alecto contig12409, whole genome shotgun sequence.
GUCUAUGGCCAUGCUACCCUGAACAAGCCUGAUCUCAUUUGAUUUUGGAAGCUAAGCAAGGUUGGGCCUGGUUAGUACUUGGAUGGGAGACCACCUAGGAAGACCAGAUGCUGUAGGCG